rnacentral:rRNA from 1 species
GGCGUAGGGCGCGAGCGUUGUCCGGAUUUAUUGGGCGUAAAGAGCUCGUAGGCGGCUUGUCGCGUCGGCUGUGAAAACCCGCGGCUCAACUGUGGGCGGGCAGCUGAUACGGGCAGGCUGGAGUUCGGUAGGGGAGACUGGAAUUCCUGGUGUAGCGGUGAAAUGCGCAGAUAUCAGGAGGAACACCGGUGGCGAAGGCGGGUCUCUAGGCCGAUACUGACGCUGAGGAGCGAAAGCGUGGGGAGCGAACAGG